rnacentral:rRNA from 1 species
GAUCCUGGCUCAGGAUGAACGCUGGCGGCGUGCUUAACACAUGCAAGUCGAACGGGAAACCUUUUAUUGAAGUUUCGGCAGAUUUAGCUGGUUUCUAGUGGCGGACGGGUGAGUAACGCGUGGGUAACCUGCCUUAUACAGGGGGAUAACAACCAGAAAUGGUUGCUAAUACCGCAUAAGCGCACAGGACCGCAUGGUCCGGUGUGAAAAACUCCGGUGGUAUAAGAUGGACCCGCGUUGGAUUAGCUAGUUGGCAGGG